rnacentral:tRNA from 26 species
GCCCCGGUAGCUCAGUGGAUAGAGCGUCUGCCUCCGGAGCAGAAGGUCGCAGGUUCGAAUCCUGUCCGGGGCACCA